rnacentral:rRNA from 1 species
AAAUUGAAGAGUUUGAUCAUGGCUCAGAUUGAACGCUGGCGGCAGGCCUAACACAUGCAAGUCGAACGGUAACAGGAAGCAGCUUGCUGCUUUGCUGACGAGUGGCGGACGGGUGAGUAAUGUCUGGGAAACUGCCUGAUGGAGGGGGAUAACUACUGGAAACGGUGGCUAAUACCGCAUAACGUCGCAAGACCAAAGAGGGGGACCUUCGGGCCUCUUGCCAUCAGAUGUGCCCAGAUGGGAUUAGCUAGUUGGUGAGGUAACGGCUCACCAAGGCGACGAUCCCUAGCUGGUCUGAGAGGAUGACCAGCCACACUGGAACUGAGACACGGUUCAGACUCCUACGGGAGGCAGCAGUGGGGAAUAUUGCACAAUGGGCGCAAGCCUGAUGCAGCCAUGCCGCGUGUAUGA